CCCGUUACCCACCAGGGGGCACCGGGAAACCGAGCAGGAGGGAGGAAAAUAAUUGCAGAGUGCUGGGAUUUCGGGAUUUACAUGAGACGUGCAGCUUUCAGCCACCAAGUGCUAAUUCUCCCAUUUCUUCAGUUGUCGUGCAGUUUUCUGGCAGCAACUCAUUUCCUACUCAAAUAAGCUGGAGAAGCAAAAGCAAGUCCAAAGGAAUGAAUGAAACCCCAGAUCCAUGAAGGGAUGGAAGGCCUAUGAUACAAAGACCUAAGAAGACCUAUGAUACAAAACCAACGCAUUACAUAGAGAAAGAUAAUUUUAAUGACAAUUUGAAUACAGAGAUCACUGAAGAAAUGUAUUUUGGUCAAGGAUAAUAAAUGUGUUUAAAGCAUGAUUAUUAAAAAAAAAAUAUGAAAUGCUUAACAUUAAUCUGUACAACACAUCAUCUCUGGGAAGAUUGUUUUUCCUUUCCUAAAGUUAAGAAAAUCAUGGUCUGUGCCUCCAGUGGGGGAAAAG